UCCUCCUCUCCAGAACAAAUGGACCCGGAGAUUACAGAAGUCAUGUACAUUGGAGGAUUUGAAAGAAGAGCAUUGGUCACUGGUUCAAACAUUCAAAAUGACCCACAGAUGGUGAUAUCUUCCUGACAAGACACCUCUUGCGAUCAGUGGCCACACAGGAAGUUAACCAGCUGAUCGAGAAGACCCGAGAUGGCCAUGGAUGUAUCAAGAGAACUGGAUAUGGCACCGCUACUCAGCCUUGCUGUCAAUAUCCCCCAGUGGCCACUCGCAGUAGUGCAACAGAAAAGUCUCCUGUGACCUAAAAAGCAUUUUCACCAUGGAACACCAUCAACUGCAAACAAGGUCAUUUAUUACUCUUUCUAAUCUAUUAAUUUUUAAUCCAUGAGGGUUUGUAUAUGUAAUACUUUCCUAGAGUUUAGAAAUACAUCCCAAUGUAAAGUCUGUGGACUGAAUGGGAACACGUGGGCGGGGACAACAGGAAAUACUCAGUGGGCCACACAAAGCAGAAGCACACCCAGAAGGGUUUUUUGGCUUAUGUGCCAGAUUUGAAUUGUGGCGUAACACAUGGAGAGCUGAGGCAAGACUACCUGUUGCUGUGAGUUUUGACAGUCUGAUAAUUUGCCACCAAAACAACUGGACCCAUGAAAGAGAGACAGCUAACACUAGCUAAACCCCUUCUUUGUAUAAUGGAAGAAACAGUAAUGUCUAGUUGGUCAAUGGUAAUGUUAGCAAGCUAGGCUAACUAGAUUCCACUUUCCAAUAGUUGGCCUAGCUUACCAACUUCCAUUUGGGUCCCCCAAAUGUUAAAUGUUAUAAAGGACAGAUGGACUUAUAGGAAGUGCUAUGUAGGCUUGUUUAAAAAGAAAAUGUCUUGUAUGAAUAGUUGUAAAAGGAUAUACAGUAUGAUGUUCUCCAGUCAGUAGCAUACUACAGAAGAUGACAGUGCUUCUCAAAUGUCAGUCAACUGCUGCCAUGAGAAACGCCCACCCAGAGGCUUGAAGCUUACUGUAGAUGCUGUUUCCACAAAUAUGACUAAAAAUGCUUUUAUCCUCUUUUGAAACAUUGAAAAUUAAGCACAGUAGCCACAGUAUAAUUAUAGUUUGCAAUGUACUUACACAAAAAGUGAGGAAAAUGAUUUUAAACCUGUAGACUUCUGGAUACAGGCGUCUCAGACACCACAGGAAGUGGUUUUAGUGUUCUUCUUUAGUGCAUCUCUACACUCUGUUCCAGCUUGAUUGGAUAGCUGUCAAGAUGCAUGUUAAUACCAGGUGUAAACAUGAUAUAUGCCUGUAGUGCCAUGCAUACUUUAUAAAGGUUUAGGAAAGGCCACAUCAUACUAGAAUUUUCUGUAAAGAAUUAGUGCACUUGUCAGAUGAGUUUGUCUCUAAACUGAAAGUAUCAAUCCAGCGCUUGUUCUUAAAUAUAGGAGCCCAGAUCAUUCUGGCAAUAUAUAGGUUUUACUAAAGGUGCCUUUUGGACAAAUUAGACUUGAUUGAAACGGCAUGAAAGUAGUUCAUUCAAAUACUAUAUUGUACCAAAGACGAAAAAGCAUGUUGAAAUUCUUACCUUUCAUUACCUACCAUUUCAGAGGUCAGAGAGAAAUGCCUGUACAAGUACCAACAAUAUAUAUAGUGGGGUAAAUAAAGCAUGAAAACCCUCUCUGAAAAAAACUCCACUAAUGUCUGUUGAAGUAAGCAAUAAGGCACUGAAAAUGAUGCAUUUAAGAGAAAAUAUAUUACCAUUUGAAAUGGACUCAGCUGUUGUCUGUUAAUUAGAUGUCCUUGAGAGAUAGGGUGCCUUCAAAAGCAACAAUAGAGCUUUUCAUCAUGUUUCUAUGGCUUUGCUAAUUAGGCCUUCCCUUCCAGACUGUUCAAGGCAACCACUAGCCCAUCUUUGGACCGUGCAUUUUUUUUUGUCUUUAUCAUUUUGUGUUAUUUAGAGUCACUGUUAUCCCUAUCUAGAUAUUUCAAUUACAUGGCUUCUUUGACACAAUGGAAGUCAUUGAAUCACUUCUUUGCACAGUAUUAUUGGUUCACUGUGUAUCAGUAAUGGUUUUGCAGACCACAAAAGCCACUGCUCAUGUGUUUGUACAGUAUGUGGUCCACUCAUAAGAGAAGAUGUAGCCUAAUCAUGGAUUCUUUUUUAGGCUUUCAAUGAGGUCUUACAUUAGACCUAUUAUGUUUAAACAUUAAACUACAGUAUAUGUUAUUUACAAUAUAUACUAGUUCUCAGUCUGUGCCGUCCCAAUGGUACUAGCAAUAAAACCACAAAGCUAGAGUGUAGGCCUAAAUACAGUAAGAAGAAUGAAGUAGUGCACCAUUCUCACUGGAUUCAAACUGCCCACAGUACCUAUGCACAAGGAAAUCACAGGAAAUGAUACGUGCAUGUAAUCCAGUGUUAUUAUGUUUAAUUUUAUCUCAUUGAUAUCAGCCUCACAGUUGACUGUUCACUCUCCUGAUGGCAUAUCAGAGCAGUAUUAAAUCACAGCUAAUGCAAACUGAACAUUUCCUACUUCUGCUGCUGCACAUUGACAGCAUUGAGUACAAGUACAACAGUAUUAUCAGCAGACUGUACUUUAAGUACUGAUAAUGCAGAAUGGCCCCUUUAGGAGUGCGAUAUUAUUAUAUUUUAUUAUUGGAUUACUAUUAUUGAUGCAUUAACAUGUAGGCAGCAUUUUAAUGUUGAAGCUGGUCAUAUACUGCUGGCUAGUUUAAUCUAUUACAAUGCAUCAUAUUUUAUGAGCUGAUUUUAUGUUUUGUGUGUAACUUGAAUCUACAGUACAAAGUUACUUGUAACUAUAGCUGUAAAAUAAAUGGUGUAAAAAGUACAAUUUUUCUUUCUGAAAUGUAAUGGGAGUUG